AGGAGUGUAGUUCCAAUUGGUAGAACAGCGGUCUCCAAAACCGAUGGCUGGGGGUUCGAGUCCCUCCACUCCUGCCA
rnacentral:tRNA from 2 species